UCACUUAGGCAGCGCAUAUACUAAAAUUGGAAUGAUACAGGGAAGAUUAGCAUGGUCCCUGCACAAGGAUGAUGUGCAAAUUCGUGACACAUUCUGUACUUUU